rnacentral:tRNA from 1 species
UCCCUGGAGGACUAGUGGUUAGGCCAUGACGCUCUCACUGCCGCAGCCCAGGUUCGAUUACCUGCCAGGGAC